GACGAACGCUGGCGGCGUGCUUAACACAUGCAAGUCGAACGGUGACGAAUGGAGCUUGCUCUGUUCUGAUCAGUGGCGAACGGGUGAGUAACACGUGAGUAACCUGCCCCUGACUCUGGAAUAACUUCGGGAAACCGAAGCUAAUACCGGAUAUGACACAGAGCCGCAUGGUUUCUGUGUGGAAAGUUUUUCGGUUGGGAUGGACUCGCGGCCUAUCAGCUUGUUGGUGAGGUAAUGGCUCACCAAGGCGACGACGGGUAGCCGGCCUGAGAGGGCGACCGGCCACACUGGGACUGAGACACGGCCCAGACUCCUACGGGAGGCAGCAGUGGGGAAUAUUGCACAAUGGGCGAAAGCCUGAUGCAGCGACGCCGCGUGAGGGAUGAAGGCCUU
rnacentral:rRNA from 1 species